UACGUAGGGUGCAAGCGUUGUCCGGAAUUAUUGGGCGUAAAGAGCUCGUAGGCGGUCUGUUGCGUCGGCUGUGAAAACCCGGGGCUCAACUCCGGGCCUGCAGCCGAUACGGGCAGACUAGAGUUCGGCAGGGGAGACUGGAAUUCCUGGUGUAGCGGUGAAAUGCGCAGAUAUCAGGAGGAACACCGGUGGCGAAGGCGGAUCUCUGGGCAUUAACUGACGCUGAGGAGCGAAAGCAUGGGGAGCGAACAGG
rnacentral:rRNA from 1 species